rnacentral:lncRNA from 1 species
GAAAAUAAAAUCAAACACGUUACGGGCCGGCCGAUCACUUCUAGUAUUGCAUCUUCCUUAGCUUUUUCGAUCAAGUCUUGUGAUUUUCGGUGGACCAACCUUAUGACAUGAUACUCAUUUCUGCAUUCCCAGUUUACCUGACAAAUACAUAUAGAAAAGAAUCAUAUAUUCAUCGCCAAGUGAAUUCAUCAUUGAGCCAAAUAGCAUCAUAGCGAGGUUUAUCUUGGACACUAGUAUAAAAUGGUGUUCCUCUAAAGCCAUGCAGAACAACUUCUUUCCAAGUAGCAUAGGGACAAGUAACAACAUGUGACUAAUUGUCAAAAAAGCAUUUUUACAGCUCUUGUGUCUUUGAAUACUUUUGUUUUGGUUUCACUACUGGCAUCUUAAUUAUCAUUUCCACAUGUUUUGCGUCAUUGCGUCUUCCGAACUCAUUAUGUUCUUAAUUUCUGUUUAUGUAAUUAUUGCUUAGGGUCUUUCAGGUUGGAGUCUAGUAACUUGAAUACAUAGUCCAUGUCCUCCUGAC